GACGAACGCUGGCGGCGUGCCUAAUACAUGCAAGUAGAACGCUGAAGGAGGAGCUUGCUCUUCUGGAUGAGUUGCGAACGGGUGAGUAACGCGUAGGUAACCUGCCUGUUAGCGGGGGAUAACUAUUGGAAACGAUAGCUAAUACCGCAUAACAGUAGAUGUUGCAUGACAUUUGCUUAAAAGGUGCAAUUGCAUCACUACCAGAUGGACCUGCGUUGUAUUAGCUAGUUGGUGGGGUAACGGCUCACCAAGGCGACGAUACAUAGCCGACCUGAGAGGGUGAUCGGCCACACUGGGACUGAGACACGGCCCAGAAUCCUAAGGGAGGCAGCAGUAGGGAAUCUUCGGCAAUGGACGGAAGUCUGACCGAGCAACGCCGCGUGAGUGAAGAAGGUUUUCGGAUCGUAAAGAUCUGUUGUAAGAGAAGAACGAGUGUGAGAGUGGAAAGUUCACACUGUGACGGUAUCUUACCAGAAAGGGACGGCUAACUACGUG
rnacentral:rRNA from 1 species